rnacentral:rRNA from 1 species
UACGAAGGGUGCAAGCGUUACUCGGAAUUACUGGGCGUAAAGCGUGCGUAGGUGGUGCGUUAAGUCUGUCGUGAAAGCCCCGGGCUCAACCUGGGAAUGGCGAUGGAUACUGGCGCGCUAGAGUGCGGUAGAGGAGAGUGGAAUUCCCGGUGUAGCAGUGAAAUGCGUAGAGAUCGGGAGGAACAUCAGCUGCGAAGGCGGCUCUCUGGACCAGCACUGACACUGAGGCACGAAAGCGUGGGGAGCAAACAGG